rnacentral:rRNA from 1 species
CCUACGGGUGGCAGCAGUCGAGAAUCAUUCACAAUGGGGGAAACCCUGAUGGUGCGACGCCGCGUGGGUGAAUGAAGGUCUUCGGAUUGUAAACCCCUGUCAUGUGGGAGCAAAUUAAAAAGAUAGUACCACAAGAGGAAGAGACGGCUAACUCUGUGCCAGCAGCCGCGGUAAUACAGAGGUCGCAAGCGUUGUUCGGAAGCACAGGGCGUAAAGCGUGCGUAGGCUGUUUCUUAAGUCGUGUGUGAAAGGCGCGGGCUCAACCCGCGGACGGCACAUGAUACUGCGAGACGAGAGUGAUGGAGGGGGAACUGGAAUUCUCGGUGUAGCAGUGAAAUGCGUAGACAUCGAGAGGAACACUCGUGGCGAAGGCGGGUUCCUGGACAUUAACUGACGCUGAGGCACGAAGGCCAGGGGAGCGAAAGGGAUUAGAUACCCCUGUAGUC